rnacentral:rRNA from 1 species
GACGAACGCUGGCGGCGCGCUUAACACAUGCAAGUCGAGCGAGAACCCAGGCUUCGGCCUGGGGGAAAGCGGCGAACGGGUGAGUAACACGUGGGUAAUCUGCCCUCGGCAUCGGGAUAGCCCGGGGAAACCCGGAUUAAUACCGAAUGGCCCAUCUGCUCUUCGGAGCGGCCGGAAAAGGUAGCUUUGGCCUCCGGCCGAGGAGGAGCCCGCGGCGGUUUAGCUUGUUGGUGAGGUAACGGCUCACCAAGGCGACGAUCCGUAGCUGGUCUGAGAGGACGAUCAGCCACACGGGGACUGAGACACGGCCCAGACGCCUACGGGAGGCAGCAGUGGGGAAUCUUGCGCAAUGGGCGAAAGCCUGACGCAGCGACGCCGCGUGCGGGAAGAAGGCCUUCGGGUUGUAAACCGCUUUCAGGAGGGACGAAGCCACUCGGGUUAAUAGCCCAGAGGGUGACGGUACCUCCAGAAGAAGCCCCGGCUAACUACGUGCCAGCAGCCGCGGUAA